rnacentral:rRNA from 1 species
UACGGAGGGUGCAAGCGUUAAUCGGAAUUACUGGGCGUAGAGGGUGCGUAGGUUGUUUAUUAAGUUAGCUGUAAAAUCCCCGGGCUUAACCUGGGCAUGUCAGCUAAGACUGAUAGACUUGAGUAUGGGAGAGGGUAGUGGAAUUUCCGGUGUAGCGGUGAAAUGCGUAGAGAUCGGAAGGAACACCAGUGGCGAAGGCGGCUACCUGGCCUAAUACUGACACUGAGGCACGAAAGCGUGGGGAGCAAACAGG